UACGUAGGGUGCAAGCGUUAAUCGGAAUUACUGGGCGUAAAGCGUGCGCAGGCGGCUUUGCAAGACAGAUGUGAAAUCCCCGGGCUUAACCUGGGAAUGGCAUUUGGGACUGCAAGGCUGGAGUGCGGCAGAGGAGACUGGAAUUCCUGGUGUAGCAGUGAAAUGCGUAGAUAUCAGGAGGAACACCGAUGGCGAAGGCAGGUCUCUGGGCUGACACUGACGCUCAUGCACGAAAGCGUGGGGAGCAAACAGG
rnacentral:rRNA from 1 species